rnacentral:rRNA from 1 species
UUCCGGUUGAUCCUGCCGGAGGCCAUUGCUAUCGGAGUCCGAUUUAGCCAUGCUAGUCGCACGAAUUCAGAUUCGUGGCGUAUAGCUCAGUAACACGUGGCCAAACUACCCUACAGACCGCGAUAACCUCGGGAAACUGAGGCCAAUAGCGGAUACAGCUCUCACGCUGGAGUGCCGAGAGCUGGAAACGUUCCGGCGCUGUAGGAUGUGGCUGCGGCCGAUUAGGUAGAUGGUGGGGUAACGGCCCACCAUGCCCAUAAUCGGUACAGGUUGUGACAGCAAGAGCCUGGAGACGGUAUCUGAGACAAGAUACCGGGCCCUACGGGGCGCAGCAGGCGCGAAACCUUUACACUGCACGAGAGUGCGAUAGGGGGACUCCGAGUGCGAGGGCAUAUAGUCCUCGCUUUUCUGAACCGUAAGGUGGUUCAGGAACAAGGACUGGGCAAGACCGGUGCCAGCCGCCGCGGUAAUACCGGCAGUCCGAGUGAUGGCCGAUUUUAUUGGGCCUAAAGCGUCCGUAGCUUGCUGUGUAAGUCCAUUGGGAAAUCGACGCGCUCAACGCGUCGGCGUCCGGUGGAAACUGCGCGGCUUGGGGCCGAGAGACUCGACGGGUACGUCCGGGGUAGGAGUGAAAUCCUGUAAUCCUGGACGGACCACCAAUGGCGAAAGCACGUCGAGAGGCCGGACCCGACAGUGAGGGACGAAAGCCAGGGUCUCGAACCGGAUUAGAUACCCGGGUAGUCCUGGCUGUAAACGAUGCUCGCUAGGUAUGUCACGCACCAUGAGUGCGUGAUGUGCCGUAGUGAAGACGAUAAGCGAGCCGCCUGGGAAGUACGUCCGCAAGGAUGAAACUUAAAGGAAUUGGCGGGGGAGCACCACAACCGGAGGAGCCUGCGGUUUAAUUGGACUCAACGCCGGU